UGGGUCUCUGUGGGGUUGCUGUGGGGUGUUAUGGGGUCUCUAUGGGGUCUCUGUGGGUCGCUGUGGGGCGCUAUGGGGUCUCUAUGGGGUCUCUGUGGGGUUUUAUGGGGUCUCUAUGGGUCUCUAUGGGAUCUCUGUGGGUCUUUAUGGGUCUCUGUGGGGUUUUAUGGGGUCUCUGUGGGUCUCUAUGGGUCUCUAUGGGUCGUUGUGGGUCUCUAUGGGUCUCUGUGGGUCUCUUGUGGGUCACUAUGGGUCAGUGUAGGUCGCUAUGGGUCACGGUGUGGGUCUCUAUGGGUCGCUGUGGGUUGCUAUGGGUCAGUGUGGGUCACUAUGGGUCGCUGUGUGGGUCGCUAUGGGUCGCUGUGGGUUGCUAUGGGUCUCUAUGGGUCUCUAUGGCUCUCUAUGGUCUCUGUGGGUCUCUGUGGGUUUCUGUGGGUCGCUAUGGGUCCCGCUAUGGGUCGCUGUGGGGCUGCCCCAUAGUACGCGUCGGUGGAGGAGGCGGCGGCGACGCGGGAGGCGCUGCACGGCGUCAGGUGGCCGCAGUCCAACCCC
rnacentral:lncRNA from 1 species